UGGGGGGGGGGGGGGGCAUGGUGGGGGUUAUUGAUGAAGAAAGAGCCCAGAUUGAAUGUAUGUGAUGGUUUUAUGAAGUGAGGAAGGUGGUCAGGCAACGUUAACGGAGGAAGCAGUGGCCGGAAAUGGAUGAUCGGAGCUGGUUUCGCAUUGGUGAGGGUUAUAAAGGGGGAAAUAGAAAAGGUUGAGGGAAAAAGGGACCAUUGUACCCUCAUGUGCAUUGCAUGUGACAGGAAUUAACUGAGAUUUCUAACCAGGUUUGGUCUAAAGGACAAAACAUGCAAGAUUUUGAAAGAUGAACAAGAGGCUGCGACAGUUGAAUAAAAAGAAGCUGCUUCAAGCUAUUAAGCUUAGCGUGGAGGGUCGUGGAAUGAUCAAGUACGUGUAGACCGAAUCAAGGAGCCUCAAAUGAUCACCUACGUAAACUUUUGGGUCGGCCGGCAUUUGAUCGUAUAGAUAUCUGAAGCAAUUUGUUUGUUGAGUUAACUUAGCAUCAAAAACUUAUGUGUCUCGCUAGUUUAAGCAUUAUUUUGUAAUCUUUUAUGUAUAAACAGUGAUACAGAUUAAUAUUUAAGUAUUAUUUUGUAA